CCUACGGGAGGCAGCAGUGGGGAAUAUUGGACAAUGGGGGGAACCCUGAUCCAGCGACGCCGCGUGAGUGAAGAAGUAUUUCGGUAUGUAAAGCUCUAUUAGUAGGGAAGAAAAUGACGGUACCUGACCAAGAAGCCCCGGCUAACUAUGUGCCAGCAGCCGCGGCAAUACGUAGGGGGCAAGCGUUAUCCGGAUUUACUGGGUGUAAAGGGAGCGUAGACGGUGCAGCAAGUCUGAUGUGAAAGGUCGGGGCCCAACCCCGGGACUGCAUUGGAAACUGUUGAACUGGAGUACAGGAGGGGUAAGCGGAAUUCCUAGUGUAGCGGUGAAAUGCUUAGAUAUCACGAAGAACACCGAUGGCGAAGGCAGCUUACGAAACUGCCACUGACGUUGAUGCUCGAAAGUGUGGGUAUCAAACAGGAUUAGAUACCCCUGUAGUC
rnacentral:rRNA from 1 species